rnacentral:rRNA from 1 species
GACGAACGCUGGCAGCUUUCUUAACACAUUCAAUUCGACCUUCAAUGCCCUUCUUUUUUUUUUUGCUCUAUUGGCGAACGGGUGAGUAACACGUGAGUAACCUUCCCUUGACUUUGGGAUAACUUCAUUAAACUGGGGCUAAUACCGUAUAUGAGCUCCUGCUUCAUGGUGGGGGUUGGAAAGUUUCGGCGGUUGGGGAUGGACUCGCGGCUUAUCAGCUUGUUGGUGGGGUAGUGGCUUACCAAGGCUUUGCCGGGUAUCCGGAAUGAGAGGGUUCCAGGAAACAUUGGGAAUGAGAUACGGCCAAGAAUACUACGGGAGGCAGCAGUGGGGAAUAUUGCACAAUGGGCGGAAGCCUGAUGCAGCAACGCCGCGUGAGGGAGGAAGGAGUUCGGGUUGUAAACCGCUUUCGCCUGUGACGAAGCGUGAGUGAAGGUAAUGGGUAAAGAAGCAAAGGAUAAAUACGGG